rnacentral:rRNA from 1 species
CUCCUUGCCAGCAGCCGCGGUAAUACGGAGGGGGUUAGCGUUGUUCGGAAUUACUGGGCGUAAAGCGCACGUAGGCUGAUUAGUCAGUCAGAGGUGAAAUCCCAGGGCUCAACCCUGGAACUGCCUUUGAUACUGCUAGUCUUGAGUUCGAGAGAGGUAAGUGGAAUUCCGAGUGUAGAGGUGAAAUUCGUAAAUAUUCGGAGGAACACCAGUGGCGAAGGCGGCUUACUGGCUCGAUACUGACGCUUAGGUGCGAAAGUGUGGGGAGCAAACAGGAUUAGAUACCCUGGUAGUCCACACCGUAAACGAUGAAGGCCAGUCGUCGGGUAGCACGCUAUUCGGUGACACACCUAAGGGAUUAAGCUU